rnacentral:rRNA from 1 species
UUUUCUGAGAGUUUGAUUCUGGCUCAGAACGAACGCUGGUAGCGUGGAUUAGGCAUGCAAGUCGAACGGGAUCGCCUGGUU